rnacentral:rRNA from 1 species
UCGCGGCCUAUCAGCUUGUUGGUGGGGUGAUGGCCUACCAAGGCGUCGACGGGUAGCCGGCCUGAGAGGGCGACCGGCCACACUGGGACUGAGACACGGCCCAGACUCCUACGGGAGGCAGCAGUGGGGAAUAUUGCACAAUGGGCGAAAGCCUGAUGCAGCGACGCCGCGUGAGGGAUGACGGCCUUCGGGUUGUAAACCUCUUUCAGCAGGGAAGAAGGCCUUCGGGUGGACGGUACCUGCAGAAGAAGCGCCGGCUAACUACGUGCCAGCAGCCGCGGUAAUACGUAGGGCGCAAGCGUUGUCCGGAAUUAUUGGGCGUAAAGAGCUCGUAGGCGGUCUGUCGCGUCUGGUGUGAAAUCCCAUGGCUCAACUGUGGGCGUGCAUCGGGUACGGGCAGACUAGAGUGCGGUAGGGGAGACUGGAAUUCCUGGUGUAGCGGUGGAAUGCGCAGAUAUCAGGAGGAACACCGAUGGCGAAGGCAGGUCUCUGGGCCGCAACUGACGCUGAGGAGCGAAAGCAUGGGGAGCGAACAGGAUUAGAUACCCUGGUAGUCCAUGCCGUAAACGUUGGGCACUAGGUGUGGGGCUCAUUCCACGAGUUCCGUGCCGCAGCUAACGCAUUAAGUGCCCCGCCUGGGGAGUACGGCCGCAAGGCUAAAACUCAAAGGAAUUGACGGGGGCCCGCACAAGCGGCGGAGCAUGCGGAUUAAUUCGAUGCAACGCGAAGAACCUUACCAAGGCUUGACAUACACCGGAAACAUCCAGAGAUGGGUGCCCCGUAAGGUCGGUGUACAGGUGGUGCAUGGUUGUCGUCAGCUCGUGUCGUGAGAUGUUGGGUUAAGUCCCGCAACGAGCGCAACCCUCGUCCCAUGUUGCCAGCGGGUUAUGCCGGGGACUCAUGGGAGACUGCCGGGGCAACUCGGAGGAAGGUGGGGAUGACGUCAAAUCAUCAUGCCCCUUAUGUCUUGGGCUUCACGCAUGCUACAAUGGCCGGUACAGAGGGCUGCGAUACCGUAAGGUGGAGCGAAUCCCAAAAAGCCGGUCUCAGUUCGGAUUGGGGUCUGCAACUCGACCCCAUGAAGUCGGAGUCGCUAGUAAUCGCAGAUCAGCAACGCUGCGGUGAAUACGUUCCCGGGCCUUGUACACACCGCCCGUCAAGUCACGAAAGUUGGUAACACCCGAAGCUCAUGGCCCAACCCUUGUGGGGGGAAUGGUCGAAGGUGGGGCUGGA